GGACUGGUGAGUAACACGUGAGCAACCUGCCUUUCAGAGGGGGAUAACGUUUGGAAACGAACGCUAAUACCGCAUAACAUUGCUUCAAGGCAUCUUGGAGCAGUCAAAGGAGCAAUCCGCUGAAAGAUGGGCUCGCGUCCGAUUAGGUAGAUGGUGAGGUAACGGCCCACCAUGCCUACGAUCGGUAGCCGGGUUGAGAGACUGAACGGCCACAUUGGGACUGAGAUACGGCCCAGACUCCUACGGGAGGCAGCAGUGGGGGAUAUUGCACAAUGGAGGGAACUCUGAUGCAGCGACGCCGCGUGAGGGAAGACGGUUUUCGGAUUGUAAACCUCUGUCUUCGGGGACGAUAAUGACGGUACCCGAGGAGGAAGCCACGGCUAACUACGUGCCAGCAGCCGCGGUAAUACGUAGGUGGCAAGCGUUGUCCGGAAUUACUGGGUGUAAAG
rnacentral:rRNA from 1 species